UACUUGUUGUACGUCAUUCUUUCGCUAUAGCUGACAGAGGUCAGACAUGUUGUAAUUAGAGAAUGGAAAUGUUUGUGUCUGAGUUUUCUAAACUCGGCAUGUACUGUGAGAUGUAGACAUUGUACCUUUCGUAGAGUUGAUACAGUAACCGGAGCACAGACGGAGAGACGUGGUGUGUGUUGUAUGUGAUAUCAGAAAGGGUUUGAUCCCAUCAGAUCAACGUGAAAGGUUUUGGUAUCUGUCAGAGAUUUGUAUACUGGUACUGUAGUUGGAAGAAUGAUGCUGUUAAUGUAUUUUAUCAACUGGUAAUAUUAAAAGUAUGAAAGAUCGAACAAGUCUUCUUGGAUGUGUUUGACCUAUAGUAUAAGACACAGAUCCCAAGAUUACAUAAGAACCACUAUCAUACUGAAAAACAUUACCUAAACAACGGACCGUUCUAUUAUUAAAGGUACAAAA